UCCUUAUUGGCUCCCCAUAUCCCAGGCUAAAGUACAAAUUUAUUAAUUGUAAUACUUAAUUGAAAUUAACUGUGUUUUAUGGUAUUAAGCACUGUUCUAAAUGCUUUACAUUUAUUUAUUCUCACAAUUUAGCAUUCUCAGUUUACAGCUGAGGAAACUAAGCUUCAAGUUGCCCAAGUUUAUAGAAUGAGUCAAUGGCAGAGGUUGAACUCAGAUGACAAAAUUGGGGUCUGGACAUGUGCAAGGACUUUUCCGAAGUCAGCUGGAAAGACAUUUGCCUCCCUUGAGCCAAAUCCUUGCCAAGGCCUAUAAGAAGGUAGGAGAAGGUGGGACCUUGACCUGUGUUGGGGACUCUGCUAUGGGAAGUAGGUUCACGACUUGCUCCCCCAUGGACUAAGCAAACAAAUGAAGAACAGUGGUAUUGGUGGCUUCUGAACUUCUUAAUCCUGAAUAGUUUGGUUUUCACAGAUCUCUGGGAAGACACCCUCCCUUCAACAAAGUUGGUAUAGCACCAUAUGAGAGAGUCUUAGAUUUCAUUGACUCCCAAAAGUCCAAGAAGUUUAAUGGGGAUAAUGAGUCUUCCCUGCUUAUAUUAGUUAUCUGUUG
rnacentral:lncRNA from 1 species